rnacentral:rRNA from 1 species
GAUGAACGCUGGCGGCGUGCCUAAUACAUGCAAGUCGAGCGAACGGACGAGAAGCUUGCUUCUCUGAUGUUAGCGGCGGACGGGUGAGUAACACGUGGAUAACCUACCUAUAAGACUGGGAUAACUUCGGGAAACCGGAGCUAAUACCGGAUGAUAUUUUGAACCGCAUGGUUCAAAAGUGAAAGACGGUCUUGCUGUCACUUAUAGAUGGAUCCGCGCUGCAUUAGCUAGUUGGUAAGGUAACGGCUUACCAAGGCAACGAUGCAUAGCCGACCUGAGAGGGUGAUCGGCCACACUGGAACUGGGACACGGACCAGACUCCUACGGGAGGCAGCAGUAGGGAAUCUUCCGCAAUGGGCGAAAGCCUGACGGAGCAACGCCGCGUGAGUGAUGAAGGUCUUCGGAUCGUAAAACUCUGUUAUUAGGGAAGAACAUAUGUGUAAGUAACUGUGCACAUCUUGACGGUACCUAAUCAGAAAGCCACGGCUAACUACGUG